CCAUAUGACCCUUAAUGCACACGCACCUGAUCUCUGAUCUCAGAAGCUAAGUAAGCACUGUUGGGCCUGGUUAGUAUAUGGA
rnacentral:rRNA from 1 species